rnacentral:rRNA from 1 species
ACGAACGCUAGCGGCGUGCCUAAUGCAUGCAAGUCGAACGGUCUUUCUAUGGAAGCUUGCUUCCACUGAGAAGAUAGUGGCGAACGGGUGAGUAACACGUGGGUAACCUGCCCAUAAGAGGGGGGAUAACAUCCGGAAACGGGUGCUAAUACCGCAUAGUUUUCUUGAUCGCAUGAUCGGGAAAGGAAAGACGGCCUUUGUGCUGUCGCUUAUGGAUGGACCCGCGGCGUAUUAGUUAGUUGGUGAGGUAACGGCUCACCAAGACGAUGAUACGUAGCCGACCUGAGAGGGUGAUCGGCCACAUUGGGACUGAGACACGGCCCAAACUCCUACGGGAGGCAGCAGUAGGGAAUCUUCCGCAAUGGACGAAAGUCUGACGGAGCAACGCCGCGUGAGUGAAGAAAGGUUUUCGGAUCGUAAAACUCUGUUGUCAGAGAAGAACAAGUUGGAGAGUAACUGCUCCAGCCUUGACGGUAUCUGACCAGAAAGCCACGGCUAACUACGUGCCAGCAGCCGC